rnacentral:sRNA from 1 species
AGAUUUACGUUAAAUCUCUCCCUUUAAAAGUUAGCGCACGGCUCAGCAAUGGGCCAUUUCCCUAGGCCCAGAACGGUUGUUCUGGGCGUUUUUUG